GGGAGGAAAAUUGCUACCUGCUGGCAGUGGGCUGCCAGACUGUCAGGUCCUACCCUUUCAAGGAGCAGAUGAAGAAGGGAAGGCAGAUCACAAGGGCAGCGGCAAAUACACAGCUUCUGCACAGGAGAGGAAUGGAAGAUCUGAGGCAACUUACAGGAACCUUUCUGGAGGCAGAGGGGAGCUCUGCUUGCUUUGAUGAGGUGCUUCAUGCCUAAGCCAAUAGGGACUGCUUGUAUGCUGAAGAUAAAGAUGUAUACCAGUUAGGUCUGCUUUGGUGGUUUGGAAAACUACAGUGAAAAGUACUGCCCAUACUGCAAGAGGAAAGAUAAAAUGUUCAACCUAGAGGAAGACUUUGAGCCUUCAUCUUCACAACCACCUUCAACCAUCACCAGAGGAUAGUACAGAUGCUCAAGCAGGAGUGACAGAGUUCCAAGGACCCCUCCUCUUCUCAGAAAUCUUCUGAAUAUGUAUA